ACCGGCCAGAAAGCACCUACUACACCUUCCUCGCCCCUCACUCCCUCUCCUAGACACGCUGCAAGACGACCCAAAACCCCCGGCACUCAACCUCACCGGCGGCCUCACCUUCAGCACAACAGCGGACAGGAACAGGAUGGCGACGGCGCUGUAGCGGUGGUGGUCGAUGGCAGGGGUUAAAAGCUCUUCGAAUCGUUCGAGGGAGGGCUGCUGGUGAUGUGUGUGCGAGGAAUCGAACCAAGAACGAGUGCGAUGAAAUCGACGAGGAACAGAGAGCUCGGUUUGGGGAAAAAGAUGGCGGGAGGAUGACGAUGAGCUGCAUCCAAGCAGUAUAUAUUUGAAAGUGUCACCGUGAUCCAUUUGCCACCUCCAGCCUGCUUGCUGCCACGUUCAUCUCGUUCAUGAGCGCCACGUAGAAGCUUUGAAUUUUUACCGCCUUCGAUCGAGCGGUGCUCGGAAACUGAUAAGGAUGACCGGCACUGUAGCUGUCUGAAAUUGGGGACGCCCAAAUCUGCUCAGGACAAGAUGGAGUAGAGCUACAUGGGGCCAACUGCAAUGAAGUACUCAGAUGGAAACAGUGGUUUGAGGGUAUGGCUAUUGAAGUUUGCCAUCAAUUUGACUGAUUUCUAAGCUUGGUUUUUUAUGAACUCUAUCAUGGCCGUGAAAGCAGGAGAUUGACAUGGAAGGUAAGAUCUCAAUCUAAUUAAUGUGCAUUUGUUAUUUAUUUAUAUACCCUCAUUCUUUCAUCAAUUUUAGUAGUAGGAAUGAUUAAUAGGUGGAGAAGAGGUUUUGUGAGGGUAUGUUUUUUUUGGUGGUGAGAUGAGCUGCAGCAAGGGCCUGUGGUGCAGUGCUGGAGAUGAAAUAUCUUCUUUCUAAAUUGAGAGGCACCGAACAAACUGACCCAUAAAUGGGGCACAACUAGAGUUGCUUGCUUCGGUGGACUUCAGAUCAUGUGAGAGCACAAGAUCCAGAAAUGAUACUUUUGCACAAAAAAGAGAAGAUCCAGAAGUGAUAGUAUUGUCUAAAAGUUAUUAUCUAUUUCUCGUGCAGUCUGUGUUGACUUGGAACUGGUUACAGGUGAAAUAUUUUCGGAUGUCGUUGGAAGUCCUUACUAUGUUGCCCCUGAGGUUCUGAUGAAAGACUAUGGCUGCAAGGUGCAUGUUGUCACGACUCGAAAAAUUUAAACAUGAUUAACUUGUUAACCAUAUCAUCAUGUGCAUCAUUAAGGCAUAAAGGAGCAUCAUGUGCAUGUGUGCUUUGUUUUGAAUUCAAUUUUGUGUAUGGAUGGAUGUACAGGUGCUUAUUAAGAAAGUUCAAAUUUUGUUA